rnacentral:rRNA from 1 species
GAUGAACGCUGGCGGCGUGCUUAACACAUGCAAGUCGAACGGGGAAGCCCUGCUUUCUGGGUGGUUUAGUGUCGUACGCGUGAGUCAAACAUGAGUAUCGUCCUCUUCACUCUGUGGUAUGUCUUCGAAACCGUGUCGAAUACCGUAAAGGAGCGUCCACCUCCUGGUGGGUGGUGGAAAGAUUUUUCGGUUUUGGUGGUUCUCGCGGCUUAUCAGCGUGUUUCUGAGGUAUUGGCUCACCACGGCGACGUCGGGUAUCCGGCCUGCGAGGGUGACCGGCGACUCUAGAACUGAGAUACGGACAAGACUACUACGGGAGGCAGCAGUGCGGAAUAUUGCACAAUGGGCGGAAGCCUGAUGAAGCGACGCCGCGUGCGGGACGACGGCAUUCGGGUUAUCACCCUCUUUCCGUAGUGACGACGCGAAAGUGACGGUAACUGAAAAAGAAGCACCGGCUAACUACGUG